CUCUAACUUUGAGUGUACAUGUUCUACUUGGCGUCUUACGUGAAUAGCCACGUCGGAUGCGUGUAUAUACUUGUUCAACUUUAGGACAUGUGUGUAUACUGGCUUCGAUCAACACUUGUAUCCUCCAACUUUGAGUGUACAUGUCCUACUUGACGUCUUACAUGAAUAGCCAUGUAGGAUGCGUGUGUAUACUUGUUCAACUUUAGGACAUGUGCGUAUAGUUAUUCAACUUUAUACAAGUUUAAUUAUCUCGUUGUGCGAGCCCAAAAUUGGAGGAUAUAGAUGUUAACGGAGACCAAGUUAAAAGGCGUAUUAUGUAUUAUGCCUAUUUUUUUUUUAUUUUCUACUGCUCGGUAUUCGGUACCUGAUAUGGAAUCCGACUAUUUCAAAUUGAUGUUUUCCUACCAAAGACGAUUUUAUAUUAGGGCUCGAACAAAAACUUUUGAUUAAAAAUGAAGGAAUACUUAUGGCUCCACCGUAUUGAAUUUUCUUUUUAAAAAUAAAAAAUUAUUUAAAACCAUAUGGCAUUUUCUUAUGAUCCUCUAACAAUUUUGUUUUUUUACUGCAGAAAGUGAGGAAGAGAAUAAUUUCUGUAUUAAGGUUAAUAAUUUGCAGGAGUGGAUGGAUGAAAAUUAUCUUUAUUACAAGUGCUGCUACAAAUUCAAAAAGUUUGUUUCUGUGGAGGUGAUUAGAGAUGAAGAAACUGGAAAAUCAAUGGGAUAUGGUUUUCUUAAUUUCAAAAAUAAUUCAGCAGCAAUGGAAUUUUCAGAGAGAAAUGAAGAAAAGCAAAUGCCAUAUUCCAACCAAAUUUACUCAUUGUUCUUUGGAAAAAAAUAAUUUUUAUUAAAGGAUUAUGUUUUCAUAUAUAUAUUAAUCAUUUAUUGAUGACUAAA